rnacentral:pre_miRNA from 1 species
AGGCUGUGAAUCCGGGGCCGGGGCUUUGGGGGCGAGAUGAGCUUGCCCGGUAUCCAACUGGCCCACAAAGUCCCGCUUCUGGGGUCACCUUCUUC